UUGCGAAAAAGCGCUUGUAGAGCCACCAAAACUCAAAAAAGAAAGAAUCGCAUAAAGCAAUUGCUUAACCGGGGGGCAGGACAGAACCUGCACAGUAGGAGGCACUAUAGGAAAGGUCGGUGGUCGGUCGCGCUUUAAAAUAAUAGAAACCGCAAAAGCUGCCAUUUUCGAACGCAAAUUGAUUAGAAAUUAGAAAAUAGAGAUGGCGAAGCGAGAAAGCAUAGAGCCGUGCAAGAAAGAAGCCUGCUACAUUCAAGCAUGUCUCUCCAAGAACAAUUUCCUCCCUCAAAAUGUUUAUACUUGGCAGGUGCAUUACAGUCAUUGAAUUGCUGCAGUCUUGCUGUGAGAAACACAAUUACAAUUCGACUCACUGUGCUUCGCUCUCUGGUCUUUUGAAGCAAAAGCCGAAGUAGAAAGUGUUGUCAAUUUUGCACUUAAUGACUAAAUGUAGCUCUACCUCUAUCAUAAACUCCAGGCAAAAUACCACAGCGGCCAAAUGCUUGAUGUGAUUAUGACUUGCCAUAAGCUUCUCUUGUUGCGAGAAGCUUAUGGCACAUUAAAUGCAAUAAAAGGUGGGGGAGGGAAAACAAAAAUAGUGUAAAGAAUGCUAGAAAAGUUUUCUGUUGAUGUCUUGAUUGAUACACUUGUGUGCAUAAGGUUUUAUUUUCAUACAUGUGAAUCGAUCAAGAGCUGUAUUCUUU